rnacentral:rRNA from 1 species
AUUGAACGCUGGCGGCAGGCUUAACACAUGCAAGUCGAGCGGGGUGAUGGUGCUUGCACUAUCACUUAGCGGCGGACGGGUGAGUAAUGCUUAGGAAUCUGCCUAUUAGUGGGGGACAACAUCUCGAAAGGGAUGCUAAUACCGCAUACGUCCUACGGGAGAAAGCAGGGGAUCACUUGUGACCUUGCGCUAAUAGAUGAGCCUAAGUCGGCUUAGCUAGUUGGUGGGGUAAAGGCCUACCAAGGCGACGAUCUGUAGCGGGUGUGAGAGGAUGAUCGGCUCAGCUGGGACGGAGAAUCGGACCCGCGCCAUACGGGAGGCAGCAGUGGGGAAUAUUGGACAAUGGGGAGAACCCUGAUCCAGCCAUGCCGCGUGUGUGAAGAAGGACUUAUGUUGUAAAGCACUUUAAGCGAGGAGGAGGCUCUUUUGGUUAAUACCCAAGAUGAGUGGACGUUACUCGCAGAAUAAGCACCGGCUAACUCUGUGCCAGCAGCCGCAGUAA